rnacentral:rRNA from 1 species
GACAGAGGGUGCAAACGUUGUUCGGAAUUACUGGGCGUAAAGCGCGUGUAGGCAGCAUCGCAAGUCGGAUGUGAAAGCCCUGGGCUCAACCUAGGAAGUGCAUUCGAAACUGCGGAGCUUGAGUCUUGGAGAGGAAGGCGGAAUUCUCGGUGUAGAGGUGAAAUUCGUAGAUAUCGAGAGGAACACCGGUGGCGAAGGCGGCCUUCUGGACAGUGACUGACGCUGAGACGCGAAAGCGUGGGGAGCAAACAGG